rnacentral:rRNA from 1 species
AAUAGAUACCCGGGUAGUCCACGCCGUAAACGAUGAGUGCUAAGUGUUAGAGGGUUUCCGCCCCUUUAGUGCUGAAGUUAACGCAUUAAAGCACUCCGCCUGGGGAGUACGACCGCAAGGCUGAAACUCAAAGGAAUUGACGGGGGCCCGCACAAGCGGUGGAGCAUGUGGUUUAAUUCGAAGCAACGCGAAGAACCUUACCAGGUCUUGACAUCCUCUGACAACCCUAGAGAUAGGGCUUCUCCUUCGGGAGCAGAGUGACAGGUGGUGCAUGGUUGUCGUCAGCUCGUGUCGUGAGAUGUUGGGUUAAGUCCCGCAACGAGCGCAACCCUUGAUCUUAGUUGCCAUCAUUAAGUUGGGCACUCUAAGGUGACUGCCGGUGACAAACCGGAGGAAGGUGGGGAUGACGUCAAAUCAUCAUGCCCCUUAUGACCUGGGCUACACACGUGCUACAAUGGACGGUACAAAGAGCUGCAAGACCGCGAGGUGGAGCUAAUCUACAUAAAACCGUUCUCAGUUCGGAUUGUAAGGCUGCUAACCG